CGUACGAACAGCGGAAAGUGCUUGCACUUUCCAAGUAAGUGGCGAACGGGUGAGUAACACGUGAAUAACCUACCUCAAAGUCUGGGAUAACCAUUGGAAACAGUGACUAAUACCGGAUAAAACCCAAGUGCACAUGCACUAAGGUUAAAAGCUGCGUUUGCAGCGCUUUAAGAUGGAUUCGCGGUGCAUUAGUUAGUUGGUGAGGUAAAGGCUCACCAAGACGAUGAUGCAUAGCCGAGUUGAGAGACUGACCGGCCACAUUGGGACUGAGACACGGCCCAAACUCCUACGGGAGGCUGCAGUAGGGAAUCUUCCACAAUGGGCGCAAGCCUGAUGGAGCAACGCCGCGUGUGUGAUGAAGGCUUUCGGGUCGUAAAGCACUGUUGUAUGGGAAGAACGGGUUUAAGAGGAAAUGCUUAAACAGUGACGGUACCAUACCAGAAAGGGACGGCUAAAUACGUGCCAGCAGCCGCGGUAAUACGUAUGUCCCGAGCGUUAUCCGGAUUUAUUGGGCGUAAAGCGAGCGCAGACGGUUGCUUAAGUCUGAAGUGAAAGCCCACAGCUCAACUGUGGAAUGGCUUUGGAAACUGGGCAACUUGAGUGCAGUAGAGGUAAGUGGAACUCCAUGUGUAGCGGUGGAAUGCGUAGAUAUAUGGAAGAACACCAGUGGCGAAGGCGGCUUACUGGACUGCAACUGACGUUGAGGCUCGAAAGUGUGGGUAGCAAACAGGAUUAGAUACCCUGGUAGUCCACAC
rnacentral:rRNA from 1 species